UGUGAAGAUGGAAGAAUGCCCACAAAAUCC
rnacentral:piRNA from 1 species